GGAGGGUUCGCAUAGUGGUCAAUUGCACGAGUUUCGAAAACUCGAUCCCGCAAGGGAUUCACAGGUUCAAAUCCUGUACCCUCCG
rnacentral:tRNA from 1 species